rnacentral:lncRNA from 1 species
CCUCCCGCACCUUAGGCAGCCAGUGUUCCCAGUACUGCAGCCACAGCUGAGUGGAAAACUGUUUACCAGACUUUGAUGAUGUCCACAAAACAACCACAGCCCUGGGCAUGUUGGGUGCUCUUUGUAAAUUAACUCACAUAAUCCUCACGACCAACUUCUAAGGUGGGCACUGUUGCCUUCAUCUCACCACAUUGGACGGCACACUCACUGAGUUCCUAACCUCCUCUUCUCUAUUGGUUUAUUCUCAGGCCGGGAAAGAGGCAUAAACUUGGAGAACCCAAGACCCCAGCCCGGCGUGCAGCCCCAGCAGCCAGACCAGCCUUGGGCAACAGCGUGGCGUUCAGCUGUCUGCGUCUUCAGUGCUCCUAUUCCAUUGCAUCUGAGUGAGCGAUUUGGGAGAAACAACAGGCAAAUGAUGAAAUAUACAAAUCUUCACUGUGCAAUUUUGAUCAGUUGCUUCUCCUAUGCAACCCUCACCCCAACAGAGACACAGCCUCUCGUCGGAACGCUUCUGCACACCCUUCUCAGCAACCCCCACCCUCUGCCCCCCACUCCCCACCAGAGCAACCAACAUCCUGAUGUCUCCCGUCAGAGUGACCAGCAUCAUUUGGUGCAGCCCCCAGAGUCUCAUGACAACUAUCUUGUUCUGCUCAAGAGCCCUGUACGGUCCCCUCUUCUGUGGAUGGAAACUGAGGCACAGCAAUGACAGCAUCAACGAAGUCACCCAGCUCCUGGCCCAGCUGUGCUCUGCAGGAGCCUCCACUUGGGGGCAGAGGCCAAGCAACCCAGCACUUGGAAGCACAGCUCUGGAGCAGCAGCUGAGUUGCGCUGUGAGGAGGCGCCAGGCGGCUGUUUAUCCAUCGGCCGCUUGCAAGUGACGGGGCGGGUUUACCCUCCUUUUCUGCCCAUGAUUUGAGCUCUUGGCAAAUCAAAGGUUUAAAGAUAUCAGUUCUUGGAACCACAAAAUAAACACGG